CCGUAAGGAACGAAUGUGAUCGAGUAUCGGCAGCUGCACCGCGAUCCAGCAUGCACUUAUUCUCUGAUCUGUGUCCACACACACACUGAGUGCACCCUGUGAGGGACCGCAAGGUCCCUUGCGCUUUUACAUGUACGAACGCCUGUUUUAAACGCAUGUUGAAUCCGUGAUGGAAACGUCUACGUAAACA
rnacentral:misc_RNA from 1 species